rnacentral:rRNA from 1 species
AUUGAACGCUGGCGGCAUGCUUUACACAUGCAAGUCGAACGGCAGCGCGGGCUUCGGCCUGGCGGCGAGUGGCGAACGGGUGAGUAAUGCAUCGGAACGUGCCCAGUAGUGGGGGAUAGCCCGGCGAAAGCCGGAUUAAUACCGCAUACGACCUGAGGGUGAAAGCGGGGGACCGAAAGGCCUCGCGCUAUUGGAGCGGCCGAUGUCGGAUUAGCUAGUUGGUGGGGUAAAGGCCUACCAAGGCGACGAUCCGUAGCUGGUCUGAGAGGACGACCAGCCACACUGGGACUGAGACACGGCCCAGACUCCUACGGGAGGCAGCAGUGGGGAAUUUUGGACAAUGGGGGCAACCCUGAUCCAGCCAUGCCGCGUGCGGGAAGAAGGCCUUCGGGUUGUAAACCGCUUUUGUUCGGGAAGAAAUCCUCUGGGCUAAUACCCCGGGGGGAUGACGGUACCGGAAGAAUAAGCACCGGCUAACUACGU